rnacentral:rRNA from 1 species
UACGGAGGGGGCUAGCGUUGUUCGGAAUCACUGGGCGUAAAGCGCACGUAGGCGGCUUUCUAAGUCAGGGGUGAAAUCCUGGAGCUCAACUCCAGAACUGCCUUUGAUACUGGGAAGCUCGAGUCCGGGAGAGGUGAGUGGAACUCCGAGUGUAGAGGUGAAAUUCGUAGAUAUUCGGAAGAACACCAGUGGCGAAGGCGGCUCACUGGCCCGGUACUGACGCUGAGGUGCGAAAGCGUGGGGAGCAAACAGG